ACCUGAUCCCAUUCCGAACUCAGAAGUGAAACGAUGCAUCGCCGAUGGUAGUGUGGGGUUUCCCCAUGUGAGAGUAGGUCAUCGUCAAGC
rnacentral:rRNA from 1 species